rnacentral:rRNA from 1 species
UACGUAGGGUGCGAGCGUUAAUCGGAAUUACUGGGCGUAAAGCGUGCGCAGGCGGUUUUGCAAGCCGGAUGUGAAAUCCCCGGGCUCAACCUGGGAAUGGCAUUCGGGACUGCAAGGCUGGAGUGCGGCAGAGGAGACUGGAAUUCCUGGUGUAGCAGUGGAAAUGCGUAGAUAUCAGGAGGAAUACCGAUGGCGAAGGCAGGUCUCUGGGCUGACACUGACGCUCAUGCACGAAAGCGUGGGGAGCAAACAGGG